UUGGCGUUUAUGAAGAAACAUUUUUAUUUUAGCCAUUAUGGAAAACAAUUAACUUUUUCAUUAUAGAAAACAUUAAAUAAUAAACCAGUAAGAUGUUAUACAGUACUUUUGAUAACUUCUUCCAUUCAUUUAGUGCAAUAUCUUAUUGGCACCUACAAGUGGAUUUUUCAAUUUUCUCCUAUUUUUUCCCCGUGCACUUAUUUGGCUUGAAGAGAAGCAACUGGUCUAAAAUGUUUUGUAUGUAGAAGUCCAUGGUCAUGUUUCCUGUCCCUUAAUUUGUGUGGACCCCAGUAAAUUACAUUUCUCAUCUCAUAUCUUCCUUUCUUUCCCAAUAAACAAUGAGACAUUCAGUUGUUUCCACUAUUCCCAGAAAUGUUGCUGUUUGACAAAGGCUCUUGACACUUUAGUGCUCCUCCCUCUCUAGAGACGUUCCUGUCAUCUGUAUGAAUGUUAGAAUUUCUCUGACACUCUCAGCUGUUUAGUCAGCCUAAACCUGGCCAAGGUAUUUUUUUUUAAAGGAAAAAUGAAAUUCCCUCAUACUAUAGUAUCAAACACAUAAUGCACCUAUAACAAUGUUUAUUUUUUGUAAGGAAAGGCAUCUAUUAGUGUUAGGUAGACCAAGAAAGGCAAAGCAUCUCCUAGAAUCUUGGCAUUUGAUGAGUAAUGGUAUAGAGGAAAGAGCACUGGCUUUGGUAGGUUCAAAUCCUAUCACUUAACUACAGGUGUGAUCUAGUGAUGAGGCAUGUGAAUGAGUGCGAUUCCUUCCCAGGUUUGGAACUGAAAGAAUUCGCUAACCCCAGAGGCUGUGACAAAAGUAGGAGGUUUUAUUUUUCACUAAGAGGUUUUCCCUUACCGGGCCAUUUUCUCAAUGGAGGAAAUCUGCAAAGAAAAGGAUAGCAAAAGACCUAUUUUAUGUGUAAGUCUGGGGUGGGGGUGGGGGGGAAGGGGAACAGUGUUUGAUAAUUAGACCAGGAUUUCUCAAUUGAAUGUCAAGUCUUUCAUGAGACUUUGACUUGACUUCCCGAAACAUCAAUAGGAGUUUGAUUUGCCCUCCCUCUUGAGAGGAUAUGAAACUAUUUGGAGUCUGGGUUUUUGCAGAUUAAAGAGGACAUGGUUUUUGUGAUUUUACAAGAUUUUUAGAGUUCAUUUGUGAAAUUAAGACAAAUGCCUUAAACUCUCUUGGACUCAGUUUCCCCACUGGUAAAAUGAGGUAAAAGUCCUUUCCAGAUUUAACAUCUGGUAGGACUUGAGGAUGAGAUGGGCUGCCCUGGGCUCUUGCCCUGGGAAAGAGAAGACCUACAUGGAUCAAUGGAAUAUAUGGAAAUAUCAAAUUACUACAAGAGGAAACAAGCGUUGACAUAGCUCUAUACUUAGUCACAUUAUUUGACCUUUAUAAAGCCAUCUUUGGGAUGGAAGGUACUUAGUUUUUUUUUUAAAUCUGUCUUAAUGGAGGGCUAGACAUCCCAAACAGACAAAAAGCAAAAACAAACAAACAAAAACCAAGCCAUUCUGUUUUUAAAGCUUUUUGGAUAAAGUCCCCUGUUCUUUCAUUAAACAACUCUGAUUUAAUAAUUCUUCCAGCUGGGAAAUUCCCCUUUAAACACUGCAGUCUAAAUUGUUGCCUCUUGUUAUCUUCUUUGUAUGUGAAUGACAGAUUGAUUUCUCCCUAAAUCUUUUCUUCUUCAAGCUGACUAGUUAGUCUCUAUUCUUUUACUAUUUCAUCAUAUAACUUUCUCUCCCGACCUUUCUAACAGUGUUUGUGAUUCCUAGAAAAAAAUGCAGAAACUGUUUUUAAUUCUUUCAGUAUAAAUAAAUAAUAACAAUCCCGGGAAGUAUCGUUGCUUGUAGGAAGCAUUUAUUUUUAUAUUUAAGUUGAAAUAAGUUGGGAGUAAAUAUAAAUUUAGAUUCAUUUAGUCUAAAAUAGUGAUAGAUCUUAUAAAUGACUGCCUAUGAGCUGUAAUAUACAUAUAUAUCCUUCAGUUUUCUUCACAUUCUAAUCAGAUACUUUGGCAUAUAAAUCACAAGGCAAUUUUUAAAAAAUUAGCAAAA
rnacentral:lncRNA from 1 species